rnacentral:rRNA from 1 species
UAUACGACUCUCGGUAACGGAUAUCUCGGCUCUCGCAUCGAUGAAGAACGUAGCGAAAUGCGAUACUUGGUGUGAAUUGCAGAAUCCCGUGAACCAUCGAGUCUUUGAACGCAAGUUGCGCCCGAGGCCUUUCGGUUGAGGGCACGCCUGCCUGGGCAUCACGC